rnacentral:sRNA from 1 species
GGAAGAUUCACUCCACCUUCUCCCAAAACUGUCACCGCAGGCCGGGAUUCGUCGGCGAUUUCAUUAUCAAGCUUCUUCCCGGUUGUUGAUUUUGUCAGUUUCGAUCGAGUCGGUAUUGUCUGACCAGAAGAGGUACGCGUGCUGGAUAUCAAUAGGGGAGGAGGGAUAUCCGUUGGGGUUGGCUCGCGAGAGCUUGUUCGGGACAUGAUGGUAAUGGUAUCCUCUCUUGAGGGCAGGGAUUCAGUUAGAGAGAGCCCGUUUCCCAGAACCUCGUCGGCUGCUUCCCUCGCCUCGUCAUUGCUCGCCAAAACCGCUUCUCUGGGUCCUGUCCUCUCCCAUUCGGCCUGGACGUUCCAUACUUUCUUACGUGGAGUAAUACCGGUAGGAAUAUCUUCUUGGAUACCAGACUGCAGGAAAUUGGCAGUGGAGGACAUAAUAGAGUUGAGAUUAGACUCGGUUGCAGAGUAGGCUUGUGAGAAAGUGGCGGAAGAUGACGAUUGCUAGGUCAUGCGAGCAUGUCAGCUUAAUCAACUAACUAGUGGACAGCAGGAUACUCACAGAGGUAAGAAGAGUGGAAGUAAGGCUGUCAAUAGAGUCUGCCAUGGCAGAAGAUCUUGCUUGGGAGGCUUGAUGCGUGGAUUUCACGUUCUUCGCCAAAGCUUCGAUAAUCUCUGAAUUCUUCUUUCCUCGAGCUGUUGAUUUGUUCGCAACUAAUAUCAUCAUUAGCGUGAUAAUCAUGGAAAGUAAAGACAUACCAUUUGUAGCACUCUUCCCCAUCUUAUUGCACAAACCAUCCACCACUUCAACGUGCGCUUCUGCCUCUCCCAUUGUUUCUUGACCAUAGCUCUCUAGCCUCUCUCUCAAACCUUCACGAACUUGCCCCAGAGCCAGCUGACCUUCUCCUUUUUGCAAUACCACUCUUUCACCGCCCGAUCUAACCUCAUCCUCGAACAACUUUCUUCUCCUAUCCCCUUCUUCCCACACUCUCCUCGUUUCCUCGCCAAAUUCUUCCAUCUCCUCAACACUCUUCUCGUUCUCCAUCUUGACCUUGCCGACCACCGCAUUCAAGCCCUUAUCUUGUUCAUCCGUGAAACUCUCAAUCAUACUCGUCAAGUUACCAAUGAGUUCGGUGCGAAGCUUGGUCGUCUUCGCUUUUUCUUCGGAAAGGAGUUUGGCCAAGAGGUGGUUCUGGGAGCGGAGGCGGGUGAUUUCGGAUGAUGAUCGAUAAUUGCGUCGACAAGACUGGCAGUAGAUUCGAGUACUGAACUGACGGCUGUGAGGUGCUGUUGUUGAUGUCCGAGUAGUUCAUCGACCAUGGACUUGCUUCUCUCGCUCACACCCUGCGCCCAUUCGCGAACAGAAUUCUGCAUCUCAUCCUUGACAGCCAACAAGGACUUGCUUAAAUCGGAUGCUUCACGCUGACCUUUCUCAUUUGACGCAGCAAGUUUUUGGGAGAGGUCGUUGAAAGCUAUGAAGGAUCGAUCAAGAGCAGCAAGGUCAUGUUUUGUAGCUUGCUGUCCUUUGAGGGCAUAGGCUUCCAUUUCGAUUUGGACUUCUUGCCCGAAAUUAUCAUGAGCUGACUGCAGCUGCGAUAAACCGUUACGAAGGCCCUGGGAGAGCCCCUGCAGUUCACCGCCGAAUUGAGUAGCUGCGCUUGCGUUGGACCCGAGUACCUUGGCCUUUCGGGCUGGUACUGAGUGUGAGUGGACGAAUACUUCAUUAGGGAUUGCAAACCUACCGAUCUUUUCAAACAAUCCUCCAACGUCAUUGACGCUCUCAGUGGCCACUUUCUUCAAGCCUCCGGCAACUGCGUCUAGUCUCUCCUCACCUUGCAUAUACGCCUGGCUAAUGAUUGUCUCCUCAUCCAGCCUUGCCUUGAUAGUGUCAAGUACGAUCUUCGUUUCGUCAAGCAUUCCCGUCAGUUGCUUCUCAGCUUCCCUUACUUGAGCAAGUUCAUCGACUGUCGCAAGUAACCGCACACUGACUUCAUCAAACUCCUUUUUCUUCGUAUCCAAAGCAACUUCAAUAACGCUCGCCUUGAGUUUGGCCUCGUCAUAGUCUGAUUUUUGCUUCACCUGAAUUUCGUGCAUCUGCCGCCAUUGAUCCUCGGGAAUAUAUAUUCCGUUCUUCUCUCUUGUCGCAGCAAGUUCUGCUUUGAGACGCUCGAUGUCCCCGACAUAUUCUUUGAGCAAGCCGGUCUUCGUAAGAUGAGCGUUGACUUCAGGUCGGUUACGGAUAGACUUGGCGCGGAUGGCGUAAUCAAGAGUGGAAAGAGUUUCUUCCAUGUUGGACCGGGUGGGACUGAUAGUUGCGACGAUGCAAGUUUUUG